rnacentral:rRNA from 1 species
UACGUAGGGUGCAAGCGUUGUCCGGAAUUAUUGGGCGAAAGAGCUCGUAGGCGGUUCGUCGCGUCGGCUGUGAAAUCCCGAGGCUCAACCUCGGGUCUGCAGUCGAUACGGGCGGACUGGAGUUCGGCAGGGGAGACUGGAAUUCCUGGUGUAGCGGUGAAAUGCGCAGAUAUCAGGAGGAACACCGGUGGCGAAGGCGGGUCUCUGGGCCGAUACUGACGUGAGGAGCGAAAGCGUGGGGGAGCGAACAGG